GAAAUGCGAUAAGUAGUGUGAAUUGCAGAAUUCAGUGAAUCAUCGAAUCUUUGAACGCACAUUGCGCCCUAUGGUAUUCCGUAGGGCAUGCCUGCUCGAGCGUCAUUUACACCUUCAAGCCUUGCUUGGUGUUGGGUGACUGUGGCCCCUUUGGGGCCACUCGCCUUAAAGUCAUUGGCGGCCGGUUCGUUGGCUUUGUAGCGCAGCACAAUUGCGUCCUCGAAGCCGCUGGACCAGCUCCCAGAAGCUAAUUUUAAAUGUUUGACCUCGAAUCAGGUAGGGAUACCCGCUGAACUUAAGC
rnacentral:misc_RNA from 1 species